CCUACGGGAGGCUGCAGUGGGGAAUAUUGCACAAUGGGGGAAACCCUGAUGCAGCGACGCCGCGUGAGUGAAGAAGGAAUUCGUUAUGUAAAGCUCUAUCAGCAGGGAAGAACAUGACGGUACCUGAGUAAGAAGCUCCGGCUAACUACGUGCCAGCAGCCGCGGGAAUACGUAGGGGGCAAGCGUUAUCCGGAUUUACUGGGGGUAAAGGGAGCGUAGACGGCAGUGCAAGUCUGGAGUGAAAGCCGGGGGCUCAACCUCCGGACUGCGCUGGAAACUGUACGGCUGGAGUGCAGGAGAGGUAAGUGGAAUUCCUAGUGUAGCGGUGAAAUGCGUAGAGAUAAGGAGGAACACCAGUGGCGAAGGCGGCUUACUGGACUGUAACUGACGUUGAGGCUCGAAAGCGUGGGGAGCAAACAGGAUUAGAUACCCUGGUAGUC
rnacentral:rRNA from 1 species